AGUGAUAUAAUUCAGCCGUUGCAAGCUUCUCUAGCUUAUGUGCAUCUUGUGGCUACACAAAGUCAUUAAAUUAAACAUAUCAAUCUCAAUUAUCAAGUAAUCCUUACUCCUUUCUUCUUUGCAUGAUCCUGUUAUAUAUUAAGUUCACCGUAUGCUCAAAUGUUGACUGUCUAGAUGACACUAUUAGAAAAAGAAAACAAAAACUUAAGCUAACAUAUUUCAAUUCAGCACAUCAUCAUAUCAUAAAGGUUUAGCCAAGAAACAUUUCCAGCUCUAUUAGCUGACAUGCUUGCAAGAAGCAUAUAUGUUUAAACAAACCUCAAAGUACAAGCAAAAUUCUUCAACAAAGUUCAGGUUUUAUCGAUUCAUUGAUUAUAAAUUAUAUACACUGGAAGAAGAGCAUGUGACCAAAGUCUUCAUAUUAAGUCAUUUUAUUGUGAUUUCAAAUCUAAAACAAGGCUGAGAUAUAAGUAGAGCCUCAGAAGUUUGUGUAAGAUAUUAAGUCACUUGUAUACUUCCAUACAUCUUAAACUUAUAGGAUGGUUGGUUCAUAGUAGUUUUUUAAUCCUUAUUGCCCCCAUUUUUCCAUAAAAAAAUGAACAUCUAAUAGAUAAGUUUGGGUGGGUACUUUGCACUUCCAAGCUUUAAGCUCAAAUAACUCUAAUGUGAGGGAUCACCCAACAACUUAAGUAAAAGAGGAUAAUAUUUUAAAAAACAAUACAAUACCUUCAAUCAAAAGUUUACAGGAAGAUUAAUUAGGUAGUAAAACAAAAGCAGUAGCGUGCACCAUGCACAUGAAAUAGAAGAGAGAUCUUACAAGUUACAAGGAAGGUUGUGGCUCCACAAUAGAAUAAGGCCCCUGUUGAAACUGCAAGUAAGGGCAGAGUAUAAUUAAUUAUAAAUAAAAGAAAGGGAGAAAGAAAGAAAAGGCCCCUGAUUUUCUCUGAUACCUUUCAUGUGCCAUGAUUAUGCAAAUGAAGAAAGCAAGUACCCAGACAAUGAAGCAAUCAUUUUGAUUGUUCUCUCUAUGGUCGCUCGUGCUCUGCUCCUCCCUCCUCCCUCAGUUUCUCUAUGGCGAUCUGAUGCAACAACUUCAAAGAGAGCGACCGAAUUCGCGACUCUAUUGAAGUAAAUCACUUCACAAAUCUUCUGGAAACUCUAAAAAACAGGCUCAAACGCCACAACACGAAACCCCAUAGCCGCGGUGGCGAAGCUCGCCAUGCCCACAUUGGCACCCAGAUCCACCACAAACCCAUCUCUCCCCUCGCCCUUCGCCUUCUCCAGAAUCUCCUGAAUAAUGAAGGAGAUAUCAGGUUUGCCUUUGAGAAUCCUCACGAUGUUCUUGUGCGGUGUAAGGCCCAAGUUUUUAAGCUUAUGCUAAGUGAAUAAACUUCCUA
rnacentral:lncRNA from 1 species